rnacentral:lncRNA from 1 species
GUACAUUCUGGCCCUUAAAUCUCUACCGGAUUCAACCCUUUCCAUUGCUGGUUCUUCUUCGAAACCGUUGUUGUAUUCCCAGAGAUCGAACUGGCCUAACCCAGACCGGGUCGGGGUUGAAGGAGACCUGCAAAACCCGGGUCGAAGCGUGGAGCCCCGAGGGGAACCGUAACCCGAUCCCAUUUGCAUACCCCAUGAACAAGCGCCGGCGCCGUUCAUUUUGGACUUACCGAGCUGCAUGCUACGCAUGGAAGCAGCGAGUUCACUCACCGAGUAAAACGAGCCGCUUGGGGAUAAAGGUGGUGAAUCGGAAGGUGGAGAUAACGGAGGUGAAGCCAAAAUGGAAGUCGGUGAAGAAACUAUAUCGAAACGAUGACGUAUUGGAGACCCAACGUAAUCCAAAUCGCCCGAACUCGACCCGUUUCCUCUCGGACUCUGUUGUGGUAACAACCGGAGCUGUUCUGGUGUGUGAGCGAAAAAACAGACCCUCCUUUUACAACUGGUACCAUCCUUACACGGCUGAGUUCGGUACCGUGCUGGGUGGAGCCAACACUCGAAAACACCAUGAGCGAACUCACACGAAUCGCCUUUUUUGCAGAUUCCUUUACGGAAAUCAGGGCAAGCUGUACCCGAAUAAUGAAACUUCCUCGGGUCUCUCCUCCGGGCUUUCUCACCGGGGUGAGCAUACGGACACUCAGUCCAGUCAUGUGACCUGCCUCGAGCACACCUCCUCACUUUGAACUCAUACA